UUUGAUCCUGGCUCAGGAUGAACGCUGGCGGCGUGCUUAACACAUGCAAGUCGAACGAUUAAGACCCUUCGGGGUGUAUAAAAGUGGCGAACGGGUGAGUAACACGUGACCAACCUACCUCGCACUCCGGAAUACCUUGUGGAAAACGCAAACUAAUACCCGGAUACUCCUCGGGUGCCGCAUGGCACCCCCGGGAAAAGCGCAUACGGUGCGAGAUGGGGUCGCGGCCCAUUAGAUAGACGGCGGGGUAACGGCCCACCGUGUCUAUGAUGGGUAGCCGAGCUGAGAGGCUGAUCGGCCACAUUGGGACUGAGAUACGGCCCAGACUCCUACGGGAGGCAGCAGUGGGGAAUUUUGCGCAAUGGGGAAACCCUGACGCAGCAACGCCGCGUGCGGGAUGAAGGCCUUCGGGUUGUAAACCGCUUUCAGCAGGGACGAUUAUGACGGUACCUGCAGAAGAAGCUCCGGCUAACUACGUGCC
rnacentral:rRNA from 1 species